GUCUUCGUGGCUUAGUCGGGAGAAUACUCGACAGUGGUGCAGUAGAACUUGGGUUCGAGCCCCGUUGAAGGCA